GAUGAAGAACGCAGCAAAAUGCGAUAAGUAAUGUGAAUUGCAGAAUUCAGUGAAUCAUCGAAUCUUUGAACGCACAUUGCGCCCGCCAGUAUUCUGGCGGGCAUGCCUGUUCGAGCGUCAUUUCAACCCUCAAGCUCUGCUUGGUGUUGGGCCCUGCCCGCUGCGGCCGGCCCUAAAGACAGUGGCGGUGCCGCCUGGCCCUGAGCGUAGUACAUCUCUCGCUCCAGUGCCCGGUGGUAGCCUGCCAGAACCCCAACUCUCGUGGUUGACCUCGGAUCAGGUAGGGAUACCCGCUGAACUUAAGCAUAUCAAUAAGCGGAGGA
rnacentral:misc_RNA from 1 species